GUCGAACGAGAAAGCCCUUCGGGGUUAGUAAAGUGGCGAACGGGUGAGUAACACGUGGGCAAUCUGCCCUUCGUUGGGGGACAACCGGGGGAAACCCCGGCUAAUACCCCGUAAGCUUGUCGGGUCACAUGGCCUGACAAGGAGAGGUAGCUUCGGCCAUCCGGCGAAGGAGGAGCCCGCGGUACAUUAGCUAGUUGGUGAGGUAACGGCCCACCAAGGCUACGAUGUAUAGCUGGUCUGAGAGGAUGAUCAGCCACACUGGGACUGAGACACGGCCCAGACUCCUACGGGAGGCAGCAGUCGGGAAUCUUGCACAAUGGGCGAAAGCCUGAUGCAGCAACACCGUGUGAGCGAUGAAGGCCCUAGGGUCGUAAAGCUCUGUUGUUAGGGACGAAGGGCGAAGGGUUAAUAGCCCUUAGCCUGACGGUACCUUUCGAGGAAGCCCCGGCUAACUACGUGCCAGCAGCCGCGGUAAUACGUAGGGGGCGAGCGUUGUCCGGAAUUAUUGGGCGUAAAGAGCGUGUAGGCGGCUUGGUAAGUCUGCUGUGAAACCUUGGGGCUCAACCCCAAGCGUGCAGUGGAUACUGUCAAGCUAGAGGAUGGUAGAGGCCAGUGGAAUUCCCGGUGUAGCGGUGAAAUGCGCAGAUAUCGGGAGGAACACCAGUAGCGAAGGCGGCUGGCUGGGCCAUUCCUGACGCUGAGACGCGAAAGCUAGGGGAGCGAACAGGAUUAGAUACCCUGGUAGUCCUAGCCGUAAACGAUGAACACUAGGUGUGGGGGGAGUCGAAUCCCUCCGUGCCGAAGCCAACGCGUUAAGUGUUCCGCCUGGGGAGUACGGCCGCAAGGCUAAAACUCAAAAGAAUUGACGGGGGCCCGCACAAGCAGCGGAGCAUGUUCUUUAAUUCGAUGCAACGCGAAGAACCUUACCUGGGCUGACAUGCAGCUGCAAGCGCACGGAAACGUGUGACUUUCGAGUGC
rnacentral:rRNA from 1 species